GCCCGUUCUCAGGGCGGGGUGAAAGUCCCCACCGGCGGUAUGCGGCACGAGCCGCGAGCCCGCGAGCGCCUUCCCGGAUCACCGUGCCUCCAUUCGGAGGCACAAUGGAUGGUCCAGACCAGCGACGGAUCUCGGUCCGAUGCGCCGGCCGAUAACCGGGAAGGGUCAGCAGACCAGGUGCGAUGCCUGGGCCGACGGUCACAGUCCGGAUGAGAGAGAACGUGC
rnacentral:ncRNA from 2 species